rnacentral:rRNA from 1 species
GUGGGGAAUCUUCCACAAUGGACGAAAGUCUGAUGGAGCAACGCCGCGUGAGUGAAGAAGGGUUUCGGCUCGUAAAGCUCUGUUGUCGGGGACGAAUGUGCAGUAUUUGAAUAAAGUACUGCAAUGACGGUACCUGACGAGGAAGCCACGGCUAACUACGUGCCAGCAGCCGCGGUAAUACGUAGGUGGCAAGCGUUGUCCGGAAUUAUUGGGCGUAAAGGGAGCGCAGGCGGGAAGGUAAGUCGGUCUUAAAAGUGCGGGGCUCAACCCCGUGAUGGGAUCGAAACUAUCUUUCUUGAGUGCAGGAGAGGAAAGUGGAAUUCCUAGUGUAGCGGUGAAAUGCGUAGAUAUUAGGAGGAACACCAGUGGCGAAGGCGACUUUCUGAACUGUAACUGACGCUGAGGCUCGAAAGCCAGGGGAGCGAACGGGAUUAGAAACCCGUGUAGUCC